rnacentral:rRNA from 1 species
AGAGUUGAUCAGUGGCUCAGGACGAACGCUGGCGGCGUGCCUAACACAUGCAAGUCGAGCGAGGAGAUCCUCGGGAUGAUCCUAGCGGCGGACGGGUGAGUAACACGUGGGCAACCUGCCUCAUAGAGAGGAAUAGCCUUCCGAAAGGGAGAUUAAUACCUCAUAACAUUGCAGUUUCGCAUGGAACAGCAAUUAAAGGAGCAAUCCGCUAUGAGAUGGGCCCGCGGCGCAUUAGCUAGUUGGUGAGGUAACGGCUCACCAAGGCGACGAUGCGUAGCCGACCUGAGAGGGUGAUCGGCCACAUUGGGACUGAGACACGGCCCAGACUCCUACGGGAGGCAGCAGUGGGGAAUAUUGCACAAUGGGGGAAACCCUGAUGCCAGCAACGCCGCGUGAGUGAUGACGGCCUUCGGGUUGUAAAGCUCUGUCUUCAGGGACGAUAAUGACGGUACCUGAGGAGGAAGCCACGGCUAACUACGUGCCAGCCGCCGC